rnacentral:misc_RNA from 1 species
CUGAAUAACGAGGUUGCUGUUCUGGCUCUUCGGAGCACUGUGAACGCAGCUUCAAAUUCACCUUUACCACCUGUGAACCUUUGUAGACUAUGACAACUCUCAACGUUGUUGGCCUUCGUGUCGAUUUCGUUGGAUCGGAGGGAUCUGCGUUAGCUAUCCUUCAAUGUCGUAGUCUAUGUUAUAUCUCUAUAAACAAGUCAUAGAAUGUCCUUUGUGGGUUUUCACCGACCUAUAAAACUUAUA